rnacentral:lncRNA from 1 species
AUGUGCAAACUUAACCACUGCGCCACCAAGCCGGCCCCAGAAAAGCAAAAAUUGUUAAAUAAAACUAAGAUCUUCACAAUAUGGUUCCAACUGUCGGCUGGUUCAAGUCUUCUGGCCCUUCCUCGGGCAAAAGGCUUAAAAGUCUUUAACAGAUCCUUCCUAGCCCUUGCACCAGUAAUUUCUCUUUUAUGUACACACUCCCUAGGAAACAAUCCAACAGGCAGCAAAAUUAAUUAUUUUUAUUUGAAAAAUAUGCCGUUAAAAGUCUACAAUGAGGGGCUGGCCCAGUGGCUCAGUGGUUGGGUUUGCGUGCUCCGCUCUGGCGGCCUGGGGUUUCACUGGUUCGGAUCCUGGGUGCAGACGUGGCAUCGUUCAUCAGACCAUGCUGGGGCGGUGGCCCACAUGCCACAACUGGAAGGACCCACAACUAAAAAAUACAUGACCAUGUACUGGGGGGCUUUGGGGAGAAAAAGGAAAAAUAAAAUCUUAAAAAACAAAAGUCUACAAUGAGGGGUUGGCUUUAUGGCAUAGUUGAUUAAGUCUGGGGUGCUCAGUUUUGGUGGCCCAGGUUCGCAGGUUCAGAUCCCUGGCACAGACCUACAUCACUCGUCAAACUGUGUUGGCAGUGACCCACAUACAAAACAGAUGAAGACUGGCACAGACGUUAGCUUAGGGCCAAUCUUCCUCAAGCAAAAAAAGAAGAAGAAGGAGAAGAGGAUUGGCAACAGAGGUUAGCUCAGAGCAAAUCUUCCUCACCAGGGAAAAAAAAACAACCCUACAAUGAAAUUUAAGCAGACAAUUGUAAUUUGAGCGCAUGGAUGGCAUAGCCAAGAUAUUUGCUGCCACCUAGUGGAGCAUAACUGAAUUACAGGAAAAGCCUGAUGUGAGUGGGUAGGGGACAUAACCUCUGUGCUCCAAAGAAUUUUUGGUUAAUCUACACUUUAUAAACACAGUAAAGCCUUUGACCGCAUAGAUCAUGGAAAGCUAUGGGUUGCUCUGAAAGAAAUGGGCAUGCCUCAGCACUUGACUGUCCUCACACGAAAUCUGUAUUGUGGACAAGGAAGCAGGACAGAAUAUAAAUAGUUUCCUUUAGGCAAAGGUGUCAGACAAGGGUGUAUUUUAUCUCCCUAUCUGUUUAAUCUGUAUGCAGAUCAUAUCAUAUGAAAAACUGGGCUCAACUCAGGUGAAGGGGGAGUGAAAAUUGGUGGAAGAAGUAUCAACGGUCUAAGGUACAGCAGAUGACACCAUCUUACCAGCAGAAAGCAGCAAUGACUUGAAACAGCUUCUGACGACAGUAAAAGAAGACAGUGCCAAAGCAAGACUGCAUUUGAACAUCAAGAGGACAAAAAUCAUAACUACAGAAGAACGACACAACUUUAAUGUAGACAAUGAAGACACUGAAAUCGUUAAAGAUUUUGUUUACCUUGGUUCAGUCAUCAAUUUAAAUGGAG